UCCGAUAUGGUGUAGUGGCCAACAUGAUGCCCUCUCAUCUCUUAGAGAGGUUAGGCAUAGCCCCGAGUUCGAUUCUCGGUUUCGGAA
rnacentral:tRNA from 1 species